UACGUAGGAUCCAAGCGUUGUCCGGGUUUACUGGGCGUAAAGGGUGCGCAGGCGGUCUGGCUAGUCAGGAGUGAAAUCUCGGCGCUUAACGCCGAAACGUCUUUUGAUACUGCCAGUCUUGAAUAAGCGAGAGAUUCGUGGAAUUCCGAGUGUAGCAGUGAAAUGUGUAGAUAUUCGGAAGAACACCAGUGGCGAAGGCAGCGAAUUGGCGCUUUAUUGACGCUCAGGCACGAAAGCAUGGGGAUCAAACAGG
rnacentral:rRNA from 1 species